UGGUUGCAUAUCUUGUUUGAAC
rnacentral:siRNA from 1 species